rnacentral:rRNA from 1 species
CAAUAGCGUAUAUUAAAGUUGUUGCGGUUAAAAAGCUCGUAGUUGGAUUUCUGUGGUAGGCAGCCGGUCCACACUAUGUGUGAGUAUCUGGUUCGGCUACUGCAUCCUCCUGAGGAACGUUGGUGCGCUUCACUGCGUGGCACGGUAUUCAGGACUUUUACUUUGAGGAAAUUAGAGUGUUCACGGCAGGCGUUUGCCCUGAAUAUAUUAGCAUGGAAUAAUGAUAUAGGAUCCACGUCCUAUUUUGUUGGUUUCUAGGACGAGGAUAAUGAUUAAUAGGGAUAAUUGGGGGCAUUCGUAUUAACACGUCAGAGGUGGAAUUCUUGGAUUGUGUUACGACGAACUACUGCGAAAGCAUUUGCCAAGGAUGUUUUCAUUG